GUGAUAGACAUGUCAGUCCAGUUAGUUGUCGAUUUGUUUUUAAGUUGUGUUAAUGGUAAAAAAAGCGUAAACAACUAGUUUUUAUAAGCUCGUUAAUAUUUACUAAAUAUUGAAGCAAUGGCUUACAAAUGGUGUGCAGUGCCAAAAUGCACCAACACGUCUAUAAAAACGCCAGAAAAACUUUUUGUUAGUGUCCCAAGGAAAGCCGAUCUACGGAGGAAAUGGUUACGAAUUGCUCGUAGAGAUCCCAAUGAAAUAAGGGCCGCUUCAACAAUUUUUUUCUGCGAGGAUCAUUUUGAUAUGCAGAAAGAUAUUAGGAACUUCAUGCAAUACAAAAUGGGUCUGAGCGUAAAACUUUUAAUUGUAGACGGAGUGCUUCCAUCAAAGUUUGCUUGUCAGCUGGAACAAAAAAGAUUGUGCUAUCGUAGUACGUCCCAAGAUGCAACCAUCAGAAGGAAAAGGUUAAAGUUCAAACAGGAAUGUGUGGAGGAAACACCAUCUAUUUUAUCAAGCACCUCUGUAACAAUUAACCAUAUUGUUGGCAAUGGGUUGCAGGAAACUGUUAUGCGGAAGUACAUAAAACCAUCAAAACACAAUGAUAUGGGAGUGAACACUGAAGCAAUCACAACUGCUGAAAAGUCGGUCCAAAUAAAUUGGAUGCAUUGCAGAAGCCAGGAUGCACAGACUAAGACCGCAGCCAAAGAUGUAUCUAUUUCUCCACUUAAAUUUUCCACAUCCGCAAAAUAUACUUCUCCAUUCAAGACCACACAAAGUUGCGAUAAGCCCUCCAGAUCAGUUUUCAAAAUGCCUUUAAAUAAUGCAGAGAAAUGUAAAAAUUAUCGUAAACGAAAAAAAGAGGCAACACUUAAAAUAAAAAAAGCUACAUUGACAUCCGCAGAAAGGUCUCGGAUGUAUAGGUUGCGGAAGAAACAACUCGCUCAAGGAAUUCAAUCAUCUGUGAAUGAAGUUAUGUACACUCCAUCAACAUCAAAUUUGCGAAUGACGUUUGAACCAUUGCCUCAGCCUGUUACUACAAAAGAGCUGCUACACCAAGCACAUAAGCAGUCUGUAAACACCGACUGUCUCAUAGUCCCCAAAAAGGAAAUUUCAGAGGAGCUGUCUGACAACAUCCUGCAUGUGAACACUGAAGCUCCGUUGGAAUUUAAUGUACAACUGGUAAAGCCGAUUAAGACAGAACUGAUCUUGAGUGAGAAUAUGGUUCAAUUGCGAGAGCAAGGCUCAACUCGCGACGAGGCAAUACAGAAUCCACAUUUAUCUAUACAGCAUAAUUUGCCAAAGAUGAGAUUGAAACCAGAUGUUGGUGCAAGUGUUGCCGGAUACUGCGCUCAGACACCUGAAAUGCAAGUGUCUAAAGUGCUGAAGCAAAACAUGGAGGAUCUAUCCACACAGACACAUAGUGAAUAUCUCAUAGUACCCAAGAAGGAAAUCAUAGAAGACCUGGAGGUCACGUUUCAAAAUGAAUACAAUUACAAUAUAGACAUCAUUGUACCCAAACAAGAGCUGUCCGACGACAGUGGACACUUGGACGAUGAAGAUCAGUUGGACAAUAAUAUGGACUUGUUAAAGCCAGUUGACAGAGACAUGGUUGAAGUAAGACAUCAAGAUUCAACUCACGCACAGACAACACAGAAUCAAUAUGUAUCAUAUAAUGCCACACAGAUUAAGCUCUAAGGGUUCGCAAAUCUCUUACAACUGUUUUUGAGACGAAAAAAAGUUCUCGUGAGACAGACAGACGGACAAUAUAGCGGUCUAAAAAUAUAUCUAUGACGAUACAUAAGAAAAUAAAUGGUAUUUCAGUCAGGAGUGCAAGACGUCGUGCUUCAAACCUGAGCCGUAAGACAAGAAACGCAAUGAAAGUACGUUUAACUAGAGAUAGGGAGUCAACGGAGCAGCGUGAAGUUCGUCUAAGCAAGG